CUAACUUGCGAUAAGCGCAGAUAAGGCAGUAAGAGCCGUUUGAGUCUGCGAUUUCCGAAUGGGGAAACCCAACUGCAUAAGCAGUUACUGUUAACUGAAUACAUAGGUUAACAGAGCAAACCGGGGGAACUGAAACAUCUAAGUACCCCGAGGAGAAGAAAUCAACCGAGAUUCCGGUAGUAGCGGCGAGCGAACCUGGAUUAGCCCUUAAGCACUCGGUGAAGUAGGUGAACAAGCUGGAAAGCUUGGCGAUACAGGGUGAUAGCCCCGUAACCGACGCUUCAUCGAGCGUGAAAUCGAGUAGGGCGGGACACGUGAUAUCCUGUCUGAAUAUGGGGGGACCAUCCUCCAAGGCUAAAUACUCCUGACUGACCGAUAGUGAACCAGUACCGUGAGGGAAAGGCGAAAAGAACCCCUGUGAGGGGAGUGAAAUAGAACCUGAAACCGUGUACGUACAAGCAGUAGGAGCACCUUCGUGGUGUGACUGCGUACCUUUUGUAUAAUGGGUCAGCGACUUAUAUUCAGUGGCAAGGUUAACCGUAUAGGGGAGCCGUAGCGAAAGCGAGUCUUAACUGGGCGCUCAGUCUCUGGAUAUAGACCCGAAACCGGGUG
rnacentral:rRNA from 1 species